rnacentral:lncRNA from 1 species
AAACUUAUAGAAUCAGCCGAAGAUCAUGUCGAUGUAGCCCUACCAAUCCGUACGAACUCGUGAAAGAAAAAUGUUUUAGCGAAGUCGCCAACUUGAAAGUAAAGUAUGAGGAAAAAGUAGAUUUGUUGUAUUGAAUGAUGUGUUUUUUUACAAGCCUCUCGAGGCAGCUAUUUAUAGCCUGUUACAACUGAUUUCCUAACCGACUAGGAUUUAUCUCUAAUUUUAAACGACAAAAAAUAUUCACAAACACGACUCAUAUUCGAGUUGGUUAUUAUUUUCCCACGGGCCUAUCUCUUUAUUCAACAAAUCUUCAUCUUGGCCCACCUUAGGCCCAAACUGGCUAAGCCACUUUGACUCCCAAUCGGC